rnacentral:rRNA from 1 species
UGCGUAGGUGGCCAGGUAAGUUUGGUGUGAAAGCUCGGAGCUUAACUCCGAAAAGUCAUUGAAUACUAUCUGGCUGGAGGGUCGGAGGGGAGACUGGAAUUCUCGGUGUAGCAGUGAAAUGCGUAGAUAUCGAGAGGAACACCAGUGGCGAAGGCGAGUCUCUGGACGACUCCUGACACUGAGGCACGAAAGCUAGGGGAGCAAACA